GCCCGGGUGGUGGAAUUGGCAGACACGACGGACUCAAAAUCCGUUGCUUUAACGAGCGUGCGGGUUCAAGUCCCGCCCCGGGCACCA
rnacentral:tRNA from 1 species